UACGUAGGGGGCGAGCGUUGUCCGGAGUUACUGGGCGUAAAGGGCAUGUAGGCGGUGGGGCGCGUUUCGCGUGACAGCGGAUGGCUUAACUGUCCGAGGGUGCGAAAGACGGCCGCACUAGAGGGCCAGAGAGGGACACGGAAUUCCGGGUGGAGUGGUGAAAUGCGUAGAGAUCCGGAGGAACACCGAAGGCGAAGGCAGUGUCCUGGCUGGUGACUGACGCUGAGGUGCGAAAGCCAGGGGAGCGAACGGG
rnacentral:rRNA from 1 species